rnacentral:rRNA from 1 species
UUUUAUGGAGAGUUUGAUCCUGGCUCAGGAUGAACGCUGGCGGCGUGCCUAAUACAUGCAAGUCGAGCGAACGGACGAGAAGCUUGCUUCUCUGAUGUUAGCGGCGGACGGGUGAGUAACACGUGGAUAACCUACCUAUAAGACUGGGAUAACUUCGGGAAACCGGAGCUAAUACCGGAU